rnacentral:lncRNA from 1 species
GUGCAUAAAGAGUGGGACAUUGGAAAUUUACUUUUUUUAUUUCACAUGGGACACUUAAGUCUUGUAUUCAUGAAUGUUUACAACUUGUUGGGACUAGAAAACAUUGAUAAUUACAAAGAACAAUAAGAAUGGUAUGUACUGCGCUGUUUCUAGUGUUGCAGUUAAUUGAAUGUGUGGAAUUUGUAUUCAAAUUAUUACUGUUAUUAAUCUUGUAUUUAUGCAGACAUUCUCAGCUUAGUGGUUCCAUUCCAAAUCUCGGGAUUAAUGCAGUCUUUUGUAAAGGUUACAGAGACAAAUACAGAAAAUAAGGGCGUAAUUCAUGUAAAGGUUAAAAAAAAACGUUGAGAAUAGCAAAACAAUUUUUUUGAAGAUUAAUCCUAAAAAAUGAUACUUCUAUUUACCGGUUUACUAUCCUAAAGGAGAGGAGGGGGAUUUCAGAAGGAUAAGAAGUGUGCUUCAGCUGAAUCCCCCUCCCAAACACACACACACA